GUCUAUGGCCAUGCUACCCUGAACAAGUCCAGUCCCGUCUGAUCUCGGAAGCUAAGCAAGGUCGAGCCUGGUUAGUACUUGGAUGGGAGACCACCUAGGAAGACCAGCUGGUGUAGGCA
rnacentral:rRNA from 1 species